UGAGUGCGAGCUGCUACGGCAGCGAAGUUGGUGAUGUCAUGCUUCCAAGAAAAGCCCUAUACCCGUUAAGGCAUCAUGGCCUGUACCCGAAACCGACACAGGUGGGGUGGUAGAGAAUACCGAGGGGCGCGAGGUAACUCUCUCUAAGGAACUCGGCAAAAUGGCCCCGUAACUUCGGGAGAAGGGGUGCCACCGCAAGGUGGUCGCAGUGAAGAGGCCCAGGCGACUGUUUACCAAAAACACAGGUCUCCGCUAAGUCGCAAGACGAUGUAUGGGGGCUGACGCCUGCCCAGUGCCGGAAGGUUAAGGAAGCUGGUCAGCGCAAGCGAAGCUAGCGACUGAAGCCCCGGUGAACGGCGGCCGUAACAAUAACGGUCCUAAGGUAGCGAAAUUCCUUGUCGGGUAAGUUCCGACCCGCACGAAAGGCGUAACGAUCUGGGCGCUGUCUCGGAGAGAGGCUCGGCGAAAUAGAAUUGUCUGUGAAGAUGCGGACUACGUGCACCCGGACAGAAAGACCCUAUGAAGCUUUACUGUAGCUUGGUAUUGUGCCCGGGCUCGCAAUGCGCAGGAUAGGUGGGAGGCUUUGAUCAUCGGCUUGCGGGUCGAUGUGAGCCAACGGUGAGAUACCACUCUUUGCGAGCUAGGGUUCUAACGGCCACCCGUCAUCCGGGGGCCGGACAGUACCUGGUGGGCAGUUUGACUGGGGCGGUCGCCUCCUAAAAGGUAACGGAGGCGCGCAAAGGUUUGCUCAGGCUGGUUGGAAAUCAGCCGACGAGUGUAAAAGCAGAAGCAAGCUUGACUGUGAGACCAACAAGUCGAACAGGGAGGAAACUCGGCUUUAGUGAUCCGACGGUUCUGAGUGGAAGGGCCGUCGCUCAACGGAUAAAAGUUACUCUAGGAUAACAGGCUGAUCUCCCCCAAGAGUUCACAUCGACGGGGAGGUUUGGCACCUCGAUGUCGGCUCAUCGCAACCUGGGGCUGAAGUCGGUCCCAAGGGUUGGGCUGUUCGCCCAUUAAAGCGGUACGCGAGCUGGGUUCAGAACGUCGUGAGACAGUUCGGUCCAUAUCCGGUGCUCGCGCAGGAAUAUUGAGAGGAUUUCUCCCUAGUACGAGAGGACCGGGAGGAACGCACCUCUGGUGUACCAGUUAUCGUGCCAACGGUAAACGCUGGGUAGCCAUGUGCGGAGUGGAUAACCGCUGAAAGCAUCUAAGUGGGAAGCCCACCUCAAGAUGAGUAUUCCCAUGGCGUAAGCCAGUAAGGUCACGGGAAGAACACCCGUUGAUAGGCUCUAUGUGGAAGCGCAGUAAUGCGUGAAGCAGAGGAGUACUAAUAGACC
rnacentral:rRNA from 1 species